rnacentral:lncRNA from 1 species
GAACUGCAACAGGAGUAAAGACUAAGGCACAGCUAAACAUUAUCAAGAAAGCCAGUCAUAUAAAAGAAAACAUAACAUUGUCAUGCUGACACAGGUAAUGCUGACUCAUUUGCAGUGAAGAACAGAAACCCGAAUGAGACAGCACAUUUUCAUCCUGUCUUCUUGCAAGGCAGAUGCUAUGAGAACAAACGACCAUGUGAAGGGAAAACCAUCUUGGAUUUGGGUACAGUUGUUGCUAUCAGUUUAGCAGACAAUGCUGAUAAUGCUGGAAAAGAAAAGAACACCACCAAAAGACCCCAAGAGCAGCUUAUGGAGAGACUGAAAUGGGCUGGUGAAAGGUACUAACCUAGAGGGAGUCAACUGAUGGAGGUCAGGCUGUGCAGGGAGCCUCUGGAAAGCCACAGAAGUUCAGCUCACCGAUAACUUCAGCAACCCAGGUGUUAUCUCAAUGGUAAAGUAAUCUUAAUUUAUGCAGUGCUGUUCUAUUCCUUCUAAUUUCUUUUAAUUUCAAAAAGUUCUAUAUUUAUUUUUACCCUUUCCUAAUUUCAAUACUGGAGGCAUCUCCUUGCAAUGUAUUCAUCCUAACAACAUGAAAUUGUUUUUUUGUUUUUUUUUCCAGACAUCUCUCAGUGCUCUGGCCACCUUCAUUUUCCUCCUUCAUACAGUCUACCCAAGAUCCAGGAAAUAAUGAGGAAAAAAGUUAGUAAAACUGGUUUAAGAAACAGUAAGUGUGCCCAUACAUUGAUAAUGUCAUUAUUGCCAUUUUGUCCUUGGCAUUGCAUGGGUACGCAGCAAGUAUGUAAUGAAUGACUGGUGUCCAUUCCCUUCUCUCCAUGCAUAUGAAUGAUAAAUGUGCUUUCCAUUUCCCACUCCCUUUUUAAAGAAAGCAGAAUUUUGUUCUGACUUAGCCUGCUGUACAACCUGGGACUAUAAAAGCCUAUUGCUGUAAUUCAAGCCAAUCAGAAACCUUUUAUUGAAUUAAGUGGGACCAGGACCAGGCUCUAAUAGAAUUUUCUGCAGAGGUGCAAAGAGCACAGUCCAGACAACGGCCAAAGGAGCUCACUAUUAUGAGAAGUGCUGUCAGACUAGAAACAGAUGUAAGUCCUUAAUGACUAUGCAACAAAUAUACACCCUGAAGCACUGCUGAACUUUUCCAGUGGCUGUAAGGUGCUGGCAAUAUAUUGUGCUAAUGAGAAUAAAGCUUCAACCAGGUUAGGAAAAUAGGUAUGA